GACAGAGAGCAUCUCAGGGUAGAAGGAGAAGAAAGAUGGUGGCAGUCAGCAAGGUGCUUGGUCUGCAGAGAUGGAUGGAUGGAUGCUUUUCUCUCUCUCUUCCUUACAGCUCUGCCAACUUUCAAGUCUUUUUGAAGGAUAGUGGCACACACCAGUUCUGCUUGGAAGCUGAUGCCUUGAGGAGUUGAUCGCCUGCUGAGCUUGCCUUGCAACAGAAACCAGCUGAAACAAAGAAUUGCUCUUUGGGGUUUACCCAUAUAAAGGCAGAGCUGAAAAUAAAACUUUGACCCUGGAUCAGAAAUCU
rnacentral:lncRNA from 1 species